rnacentral:RNase_P_RNA from 1 species
AGCGGGCUGAGCAGCCGCGUGCGGGCGACCGCAUGAGGAAAGUCCGAGCUCCACAGGGCAGGAUAACGGCUAACGGCCGCCGGGGGUGACCCUAGGGAAAGUGCAACAGAGAGAUACCGCCGCACGGCUUUGGAGGAAACUCCAUCGAGUAUGCCAUUGGCAUCGCCCAUGCGGUAAGGGUGGAAAGGCGAGGUAAGAGCUCACCGGCGCACAGGAGACUGUGCGGCCCUGCAAACCCUAUCCGGAGCAACGCCGAUCGAAGCGAUACAUUGGCCCGAUGUGCUUCAACGGGCGGCUAGAGCCGCGCGGCAACGCGCGGUCGAGAUAGAUGGCUGUUCACGACAGAACUCGGCUUACAGGCCCGCUCAU